rnacentral:tRNA from 1 species
AGUCUGAUAGCUCAAAUGGUAGAGCACUGUACUGGCAUUGCAGAGGUCAGCGUUUGAGUCCUCAAUCAGGCCU